rnacentral:rRNA from 1 species
UAACGUAGGGUGGCGAGCGUUAAUCGGAAUUACUGGGCGUGAAAGCGUGCGCAGGCGGUUCGUUGUGUCGGCGGUGAAAGCCCCGGGCUUAACCUGGGAAUGGCCGUUGAAACUGGCGAACUGGAGUAUGGGAGAGGUGAGUGGAAUUUCCGGUGUAGCGGUGAAAUGCGUAGAGAUGUGGAGGAACACCGAUGGCGAAGGCAGCCCCUGGGUCAAGAUUGACGCUCAUGCACGAAAGCGUGGGGAGCAAACAGG